CAGUUGGAACGGCUGCUAAUACCCUAUAUGUCGAAAGAUGAAAGGUUUUCCGCCUAGAGAAGAGCUUGCGUCUGAUUAGUUAGUUGGUAAGGUAAUGGCUUACCAAGACGAAGAUCAGUAGCUGGUUUGAGAGGAUGAUCAGCCACACUGGAACUGAGACACGGUCCAGACUCCUACGGGAGGCAGCAGUGGGGAAUUUUCUGCAAUGGGCGAAAGCCUGACAGAGCAAUACUGCGUGAGGGAUGACGGCUUUCGAGUUGUAAACCUCUUUUAUCAAGGAAGAAGAUCUGACGUUACUUGAUGAAUAAGCAUCGGCUAACUCCGUGCCAGCAGCCGCGGUAAUACGGAGGAUGCAAGUGUUAUCCGGAAUCACUGGGCGUAAAGCGUCUGUAGGUGGUUUAGAAAGUCUGUUGUUAAAGGCUGAGGCUCAACCUUGGUAUGGCAAUAGAUACUACUAGACUAGAGGAUUGUAGAGGUAGAGGGAAUUUCCAGUGGAGCGGUGAAAUGCGUAGAGAUUGGAAAGAACACCAAAGGCGAAGGCACUCUACUGGGCAAUACCUGACACUGAGAGACGAAAGCUAGGGUAGCAAAUGGGAUUAGAUACC
rnacentral:rRNA from 1 species